UACGUAGGGGGCAAGCGUUGUCCGGAAUCAUUGGGCGUAAAGCGCGUGUAGGCGGCUGGGUAAGUCCGCUCUGAAAGCCCGGGGCUCAACCCCGGGAGGCGGGUGGAUACUGCCUCAGCUCGAGUCCGGAAGAGGAGUGUGGAAUUCCUGGUGUAGCGGUGAAAUGCGCAGAUAUCAGGAGGAACACCAAUGGCGAAGGCAGCACUCUGGGACGGUACUGACGCUGAGGAGCGAAAGCGUGGGGAGCGAACAGG
rnacentral:rRNA from 1 species